UUCAAUAUAGUCUCGUUCAACAAGAUUCUUGUUGCCUGCGCACGCUACGCCGAAUAGAGAGUCUGGUCAAACGCAGUGCUUUCGUUUUUUGACAUCAUAACGAGGCUUACCGAGAUUCUGGGCUACUGAUUUAAAUGGUGACAGUGGUGUUGUCUUACAUCUGGAUCCUGAUGACGAUUGUUUUGUCCUAUCACUCACAAGAAAUACAUCCUAUUAACCUGGUAUCGAGACUGACAUCACAGCAGGGGGUUUGAACUUGUCACACCAGUCUACAGAACAGUAAGACUUAAAUCAAUGGAUGUUGAAGGCGCGGUCAAGCAAGUGUUUUGCCUGUAUGAGCGUCAUGGUAGCGGCGACUAUCUUGGAGAGCCAGUCAAUUUGACUGGUCACAUGAUUCAGUGUGCCGUACUAGCAGAACAGGAUGGCCAACCUUUGGAGGUAGUUCUAGCGGCCUUUCUCCACGACAUCGGUCAUUUGGUUGGCACGGAUAAGGGGCUUCGGACGAUGAUAACCGACGGCACCAACCUCGGAGCCAUGGACCACGAUGUCCUAGGAGGACAGUUCCUUCGCAAGCUAGGAUUUCCGGACAAAGUGUGUGACCUGGUACAGGGACACGUACAGGCUAAACGUUACUUGGUGUGGAAAAACAAGGAGUACUACGACAACCUCAGUCCUGCCAGUAAAAUGACUCUUGAACAUCAAGGAGGACGAAUGAAUACAGAGGAAGCCACAGCUUUUGAAAACAAUCCUCUGUUUGACUUGAUCAUACGCAUGCGCUACUGGGACGAGGCCGGGAAGGAAGUUGACGUUACAAAUGUGCAUCUAGAAAAAUACAGAAAUCUUUGUUUUGAUUAUUUAACAAGCAUGCGAUAACUUUAUCACCGAGAUUGGGAAAAGAGUGAUUUUGUAGUUAAGUAUACCCUCUGGUCCAAGAGGCGUCACAUUAUAUAACAUAGCCGCUAUAAAACGAUGUCACAGACACACACACCUCUCCUAUCAGUGAUUUUCCAUAACGUACCGUUGUUAGUAGGGAACAGACUGAUCUUAUUUGUCAACAAGAUUUGAUGGAAUUCGUUUGCUUUUACGAUUUUCUUCUACUAAUGAAAUGGAUAAGGGCGUAGUUUGUUGCUGUUUAAGUUAGGCUUGCAGCUUGUUGAAAUAUGUGUAAUACUACAUGCCUGUGUUAUUUUAUUUGUAGUUCAUUACACAUACUAUUGUUUGGAUGUAGUAUACAAUAAAGCUGAAUUGUUAUUACAAUUCCUCAGCACGAAAAUAGA
rnacentral:misc_RNA from 1 species